ACUUCGGUGGGGAUUAGUGGCGAACGGGUGAGUAACACGUGGGCAAUCUGCCCUUCACUCUGGGACAAGCCCUGGAAACGGGGUCUAAUACCGGAUACUGACCCUCGCAGGCAUCUGCGAGGUUCGAAAGCUCCGGCGGUGAAGGAUGAGCCCGCGGCCUAUCAGCUUGUUGGUGAGGUAAUGGCUCACCAAGGCGACGACGGGUAGCCGGCCUGAGAGGGCGACCGGCCACACUGGGACUGAGACACGGCCCAGACUCCUACGGGAGGCAGCAGUGGGGAAUAUUGCACAAUGGGCGAAAGCCUGAUGCAGCGACGCCGCGUGAGGGAUGACGGCCUUCGGGUUGUAAACCUCUUUCAGCAGGGAAGAAGCGAAAGUGACGGUACCUGCAGAAGAAGCGCCGGCUAACUACGUGCCAGCAGCCGCGGUAAUACGUAGGGCGCAAGCGUUGUCCGGAAUUAUUGGGCGUAAAGAGCUCGUAGGCGGCUUGUCACGUCGGUUGUGAAAGCCCGGGGCUUAACCCCGGGUCUGCAGUCGAUACGGGCAGGCUAGAGUUCGGUAGGGGAGAUCGGAAUUCCUGGUGUAGCGGUGAAAUGCGCAGAUAUCACGAGGAACACCGGGUGGCGAAAGGCGGAUCUCUGGGCCGAUACUGACGCUGAG
rnacentral:rRNA from 1 species